rnacentral:rRNA from 1 species
UACGUAGGGGGCUAGCGUUGUCCGGAAUCAUUGGGCGUAAAGCGCGUGUAGGCGGUCCGGUAAGUCCGCUGUGAAAGUCGGGGGCUCAACCCUCGGAUGCCGGUGGAUACUGUCGGGCUUGAGUACGGAAGAGGCGAGUGGAGUUCCUGGUGUAGCGGUGAAAUGCGCAGAUAUCAGGAGGAACACCAAUUGCGAAGGCAGCUCGCUGGGACGUUACUGACGCUGAGGCGCGAAAGCGUGGGGAGCAAACAGG